GGCUUUGAAAUAGUUGAAUUUUACAUCGGAUUGCAAAUCCGUGUACACCGGUUCGAUUCCGGUACUCGCCUCCA
rnacentral:tRNA from 1 species